rnacentral:rRNA from 1 species
GACGAACCGUGCGAACGUUGUUCGGAAUCACUGGGCUUAAAGGGCGCGUAGGCGGUCUGCCAAGUCCGGGGUGAAAGCCCCCAGCUCAACUGGGGAAGUGCCUUGGAUACUGGCGGACUCGAGGGAGGCAGGGGUUGUGGGAACUUCCGGUGGAGCGGUGAAAUGCGUAGAUAUUGGGAGGAACACCAGUGGCGAAGGCGGCUCGCUGGACCGGUUCUGACGCUGAGGCGCGAAAGCGUGGGGAGCAAACGGG